GAGCAUAUGAAUCAUGCACGGGAAAAAAUCUGAUCCCAUUAUCAUGAUUUACGAAUCAUGAAAAUUAUAAAUUGCUCUUGGGACGAAAUCAUGAUUCAGACUCAUGAUUUUUGAAGCUGAGCUACCACUAUCAUGAUUCAGAGCAACCAUUUUCAUGAGCUCCAAAUCAUGACCAUGAAAAGCGUUACGCACACGGUGCACCUGUCAAAACGUGUUUAGCAAAGCUUGUGCAAAGCAUAGUUGGCUGCGCAUUCACGGAAAAGUUGCCCUUUUUUUUAAAAAAAAAGUUCACUUUUAUUGCCGGUUUCCUGCGCCGCUGUUGCUCUACUGUCGUUCCUGCUCUACUAUUCCGUUCCUGCUCCGUUGAUAUCGAGCUAUUCCGGCUCUGCAGAACUACCGCCGUUUCAUUCUGUUCCUUUCCUGCCGUGGCUGUUGCCCGUUCCAGCUCCUGUGUACCCGUUCCGGCUCCGCAUUGAGGGAAAAUUCUUCCGGCUUCGCUCUACUAACUACCGCCGUUUUAUUGUCCCAGUGCCACUGUCGCCAUUCCCGCCGCGGCUGUUGCCGUCCAAUAGGUGCAUCCGUUCCGGCUCCGCAUUGAGUGACCAGCUCCGCCCUACCAACUACCGCUCCCGAUUUUGUUGCCGUUCCGGACGUUUCGUUUUCAGCCUUGGCUGGUUCCGCCCAGUAGGUGUUCCCGUUCCGACUUCCCCCACAACUACCGAACGCAGGUGAUAUAGAAGGGAGGAUCGAGCGGCGACUGAACCAUCUCCGCGAAAAAUUUGGGGAAUCAUCGCUACAACCUCAAAUUGUAGCAGUGGGCACGAGCAACUCAACAAAAGCAACGAUGGUUAUUUUUGGCGGCGCGGAGUAUAUCGCAGAUAAUAUUGUGCAUGCUGUAUGCAUUUGUAUGCAUAUCACUUAUGUGCUAAAUUUGCGAUAUACUCCGGACUGCAAACCGCUGUGGCUCUUUGUUCAGUCAUACCUGUUCAAAAUCCCGGCGUCCAUUAUUGAACUCCCGAAGAGCACACGUGAUUUGCUAAAAGGUAUAGAUAAUUAA
rnacentral:lncRNA from 1 species